UGCUUUCUUUGCUGGCGACCGGCGCACGGGUGAGUAACACGUAUCCAACCUGCCCUUUACUCGGGGAUAGCCUUUCGAAAGAAAGAUUAAUACCCGAUAGCAUAAUGAUUCCGCAUGGUUUCAUUAUUAAAGGAUUCCGGUAAAGGAUGGGGAUGCGUUCCAUUAGGUUGUUGGUGAGGUAACGGCUCACCAAGCCUUCGAUGGAUAGGGGUUCUGAGAGGAAGGUCCCCCACAUUGGAACUGAGACACGGUCCAAACUCCUACGGGAGGCAGCAGUGAGGAAUAUUGGUCAAUGGGCGCUAGCCUGAACCAGCCAAGUAGCGUGAAGGAUGAAGGCUCUAUGGGUCGUAAACUUCUUUUAUAUAAGAAUAAAGUGCAGUAUGUAUACUGUUUUGUAUGUAUUAUAUGAAUAAGGAUCGGCUAACUCCGUGCCAGCAGCCGCGGUAAUACGGAGGAUCCGAGCGUUAUCCGGAUUUAUUGGGUUUAAA
rnacentral:rRNA from 1 species